CCUACGGGGUGCUGCAGUGGGGAAUAUUGGACAAUGGGCGAAAGCCUGAUCCAGCCAUGCCGCGUGUGUGAAGAAGGCCUUCGGGUUGUAAAGCACUUUCAGUGGGGAAGAAAGCCUUGGGGCUAAUACCCUCGAGGAAGGACAUCACCCACAGAAGAAGCACCGGCUAACUCCGUGCCAGCAGCCGCGGUAAUACGGAGGGUGCGAGCGUUAAUCGGAAUUACUGGGCGUAAAGCGCGCGUAGGCGGUCUGAUAAGCCGGUUGUGAAAGCCCCGGGCUCAACCUGGGAACGGCAUCCGGAACUGUCAGGCUAGGGGGCAGGAGGGGAAGGUAGAAUUCCCGGUGUAGCGGUGAAAUGCGUAGAGAUCGGGAGGAAUACCAGUGGCGAAGGCGGCCUUCUGAACUGACACUGACGCUGAGGUGCGAAAGCGUGGGUAGCAAACAGGAUUAGAUACCCGAGUAGUC
rnacentral:rRNA from 1 species